CGCCUCUGAGCAGACGGGUGGAGAGGCAAGUGGUUGUCAGGGGGAGUUUUGCCGCGUCCUCUUCAGCGCUGCUGGAGAAGCAGCGUCUCGGCCCCUCUGCAGGGAAGCGCCCUGCGUACCACUACGCUAACAAGUCGGCGCCGCGAGGGCAAAAGGCUGCCUAUUCUUGCCGUCUGGUCCUUCCCCUUUAACCGCGAAGGAAUCACGCGAGAGGCUACUCAACGCACACCAUAGAUUGAAGGCAAGGACCUCCACUGUGGUCAUCUUGGAACCAAACCUGUACUACCUCUGAGGAAAUCUUCCUCAUUGACUUUCCCAUCUCCAUCUCAAUCAGCUUCAUCAAUCAUUUCCUUCAGCUCCUCAUCAGUGAUGUUCUCACCCAACUCAUUGGAUACACGUUUGAGAUUGUCGAACGAUAUGGUCCC